GUUACACGUGCAAAACCGCCACCAAAAAGAGGCCUCUGCAGCCACGUGGCUCGGAGAGGAGAAACCGGAAGUGGAGUUUUUUUUUUUGGUGCCUGGUCACGUGGCGGAAGCAGAGUGGCUGACUUUUGCUUUUGCUUUCCUGGAGCUGCCUGGAAGACCUGCUGCUUGCCGGGCUUGAGGACUAGAAAGCUAGAAUUACUUCUCCUGCUGCCUGCUUGGGAGGCAAUUUACUGUAGUUCCUGAAACAGGAAACAGCUGGUUGGCAGCUGGCAGCCGUGGAAAAGUCUCCUGGUCCAGGUAGCCAUCGGAGGAAACAAAAGAGGAGGAACAGAGAAGACGACAAAAGAAGUAUUCUGUAAGAGGUGGGAAGAUGCUGGAUGUUAGCCCAACCAAGUAGGGCUGAAGAGGCUGGCAACUUCCUUGGAUGUUACCCCCUCCGACCAAAAAGACAACAAUAUAUAUAAAAAAAGGACAAAGCUGCAAAAAAGCUUGGGUGGCAAUGCCAAAAUCAAUCUCUCCAGAGCCCCAGAUGUCCUUACCACUGCCUAAUGACAAUCCUACUCUGCCAAUUAAAGACUCGGCUAUCGCUGUUGCAUUGUUCGUAAGCUUUUGGCCCCCAACGUUGAUGGCUGUCUAAUUAGCACGGGUGCAAAGUACAACUUUAAAUUACGCACGCGAGCUGACAAAUGCACGGGAAAAUAAGGGAUCAAUAAGAGGGCUCAACUUAGAGCACCUGCGCUGGCGUGUGACGGCCGUUCACAAAUCUGCUUUCCAUUGGAAGGGAGAGAGAGAGAGAGAGAAGCUAGGAAAAUGCAUGAAGAGCCACAAUCAGAAACGAAGACGGAGAACAUGAAAUGAUGCACAGCGAUGUAAGCCAAAGAUGGCUUAGAAUAGGAGGGCUGGAAGGGACCUUGGAGGUCUUCUAGUCUAACCCCCCUCAAGACAGGAGACCUUUAUUCCAUGAUAGACAAAUGGCUGUCCAAUCUUUUCUUGAAAAGCUCCAGUGAUGGAGCACCCACAACUAUCAUCAUCAUCAUCAUUAUUAUUAUUAUUAUAACAGCAUGAGAGAUGGAGGGAAAACAGUCUGAGUCUGAACGAGGGACAGAGGACAGUCUGCUUCUGAAUGGGGGAUGGAAGGAGGGAGAACAAUGCGAGGGAUGGAAGGAGAACAGUCUUGGCCUGAACCAGGGGUGGAGGGAGAAAUCUGGAUCUGAAUGAAAGUUGGAGGGAGGGAGAACGGUAUGAGGCAUAGAGGGAGAACAGUCUAGGUCUGAAGAAGGGACAGAGGGCAAACAGUCUGGGUCUGAAUGAAUGAUGGAUGGAUGGUUGGAUGGAUGGAGAGGACAGUACAGGGAUGGAGGAAGAACAGUCUUGGCCUGAACAAGGGAUGGAGGGAGAAGUCUGGAUCUGAAUGAAGGAUGUAGGGAAGGAGAACUAUUUUCUAAAGAGCCUCCUUGGGUCUUCUCUGACACUGGAGACCUCAAUCUGGCCAGCGGAUGUUUAUCAUGAACACUCUGCCCUGCAGUAACGAUGCUUGUUUGGAGUGUCAGACCUUGGAUUGUUUUCAUUGGAGACGGGAGAUGUUUGCGGUUACCUCACUCCCCAAUCAAUGCGGCACACACCCCAGCCUCCUACCCCAGCCUCCUACGGCACCACCUCGGAGCGGCUUAACGCAACAGGGUCCCUGCUCACGUGGGCCUCUGUUUCAAAACAAUACAAAGCCACCUUCUGCCUCCCUGGUCCAUGCCCCCCCUCCCCAAACUAUAGAAAACGCUACAAAAUGGGAGGCUUUUCAAGGACACUUUCCAAUCACAAGCAAUUAGCGUGUGUGCGGCAGGGUUGAACGGGGAGAGAGGGGGGAGAAAAAAAAUGUAUCUGCAGAUUGAAAUUUGAGUUCCUCUUUCAUCCUUCCACUUUAGAGCUUAAAUUCUCUCUCCUGCCUUAAGCAACGGAGUUUUAGAUGACUGGAAAGAAUAGCGGCUUUGAUCUGUUUCACUUGAGUUUCUCCACCCACCCACCCCCCAGUUGUCUAGCCACUUGAUGAAAAUAUGUCAUCCUUGUUCUUUUUUUUUGUUUCUCCCUCUGUCUCCAAUUCUGCUGCAAAAAAAAUGAAUGCACGAGGCAGCCGACAGGGAAAGACUGAAGGCAAACGAGGUCCAGGCAGAAGAAGAACAUCGUGGCUUCAAAAUCUAAGGGACUGGUUUGGACAAAACUCAGCAGCACUUUUUCAUGCGGCUGCUGAUAAAAACAGGAUCGCCAAUGUCCGAUAACGGAUAUGGCACAAGAAGAAGAUCCAGUUUAAGACUAGCUUCAAUUGUUUUCAGCCUGAGAUUUUGAACAGCUGUUGCCUCAUCAGAAUGGAUAACGGGUUAGUUAGACCACUAACCUACAUGGCAGAUUCCUCUGAUCCAAGGCAACCGAAAUGUUAUUUUAAUUGAUUAAUGGUGUUCGUGUUAUCUACUAUUCUCCCGAGGUCCACUGACUCAAAUCUUCAUUAGGGCAACUUCAAAAUACAAAUGAUAUCAUUUGUGUUAUGACAUCUGGGUAAUGACAUCAUUACAUGAAGGACAUUAAGGAGGCCUUUUGCAUAAUGGCAACGUUACACAGAGAACAUGCAACGGAAUUUCCUCCAUCGUGGGCAAAUACUGCUCAGCCGAAGUCCAGAAAACCAAGAUUGGGCUGUAUUUCCUCUUUAAAAAAAAAAAGAGAA